GGAGGAUUUACCUGCUCACAUUCACAGCACUGGAAGGUGGCCUGAAAGGUUUUUUCACUCUCUUUGCACCUCUGCAAAUGUUGGGAUAAAAAAGAUAACAGCCUAAGAACUUUCUGUGGAUUGGCUCAUGGAGGACGUGAGAAGCUCUCCCCUGCCCCAGCUCCUUAUCCAGACCUUUCCCAUUUGGAGAAGAGCAGCGAAAAGAGGCAGAGCUGCUGUUUCAAACUUCUGUGCUGGACUCCAGUUUGGACUCUGCCUCCAGUUGCCCAAGGCCAAAACUGGAUCCAUCUUUCCCAUUUAGAUUCCAAGGAAGAGGUGGUCCAGAGGAGAACAUUUCCAUCAUUGGAGGUGUCAGGGUCAGGGUGGCUCUGAGGAACCUGGUCUAGAGACAAAUGUCCCUGUCCAUGGCAGUGGGGUUGGACUAUGAAGGUGCCUUCCAACCCAACUGUUCGGCUUUAUUUUCCUUUCUUGACAGCAUAUUAUUUAAAUAAACCUCAUCAGCCAUGGUUA